CAGUAGCCGCGGUAAUACGUAGGUGGCAAGCGUUGUCCGGAAUUAUUGGGCGUAAAGGGCUCGCAGGCGGUUUCUUAAGUCUGAUGUGAAAGCCCCCGGCUCAACCGGGGAGGGUCAUUGGAAACUGGGAAACUUGAGUGCAGAAGAGGAGAGUGGAGUUCCACGUGUAGCGGUGAAAUGCGUAGAGAUGUGGAGGAACACCAGUGGCGAAGGCGACUCUCUGGUCUGUAACUGACGCUGAGGAGCGAAAGCGUGGGGAGCGAACAGGAUUAGAUACCCCCGUAGUCCCUGUCUCUUAUAC
rnacentral:rRNA from 1 species